GGGAAACCCUUCCGUUCCUCAAAAAAAAAAGGAGAAACAGAGCAGCCACAAAUCAAGUGGUCACAAAAAGCGACGUCACAAACGUCAAAAAUCACCAACACAUGCAUCAGCUUCCGUGAACCCAGUGAGUGAGGAAGUCCAGGUAGAAGGACUGCAAGUCUUGAAAAUCAUCUUCAAGAGUUAAGGGGUACUCUUGCCUCUCUUGAAGUUCCAGUGGCAACAGCAGACACAACGUGGACACAAUGUCAGUUACUCGCUGGAGUAAGAGCAAAGGAAGCAAGGCCAG